rnacentral:rRNA from 1 species
GAUGAACGCUUGCGGCAGGCUUAAUACAUGCAAGUCGAACGGUAACAGGGUCUUCGGACUGCUGCCGAGUGGCGGAUGAGUGAGUAACGCGUAUGCAACCUUCCUCACACCGAGAAAAAGUCGACUGAAAAGUUGAAUAAAGUCUCGUGGUGUGCAUUUCUCGCAUGAGAGAUGUAUGAUAGAAGCAAUUUGGUGUGAGAUGGGCAUGCGUAUCAUUAGCUAGUUGGUAAGGUAACGGCUUACCAAGGCGACGAUGAUUAGGGGGCCUGAGAGGGUGGUCCCCCACACUGGGACUGAGACACGGCCCAGACGCCUACGGGAGGCAGCAGUAGGGAAUAUGGGUCAAUGGGCGGAAGCCUGAACCAGCCAUGCCGCGUGAUGGAUGACGGCCUUAGGGUUGUAAACAUCUUUUCUGCUAGAGGAAUAGAGUUCACGCGUGGACAGACGACUGUAUAGCAGGAAUAAGGAUCGGCUAACUCCGUG